CCGGUCAGAAACACGCGAUCCCGGGGCUGCCGGCUGAGCGCCGAGCGGCUUAGCUGAUUAAAACUGCCCUGAGUGAAGUUUUCAAUGAGCACCGAAAGGAAUGGCAGCCAACGGCUUGGAGGUUUUCUUUUCUUUUUUUUUUUUUUUCUUUUUUUUUUUCUUUUUGCCCACGAAAGCAGCAUUUUGUGGUAGAAAUAGCAAUGAGAGCACUGAAAAAAAUACAUAAAAAAUACAGCGUUGCCGAUACCACUCGUCUGUAUUUAGAUUACGUAUCGUUCUGCCCUAAAGCAACUCUAGUUGCUAUUUUUCACCCAUUUUUUUUUCCCAACUAUGAUGCAGAAAUAAGACCUAGCAGAUAGGAUGUCAGCCUCUUUGCCAGGAUGUGGUAUUCUCUUAUACGAAUCACACUGUUGUCCUCUCGAAUGGCAUUUCUGAGGUCUCAUUAAGGAUUUCUAAAGGCAGUGAAGUUUCUGCACCGCCGCUAUCCCAUCCGUGCUUGCAGACACACACAGGCCCAAUCCUGCGUGUGGUUCUGUGCUUCGUUAUGGCCCUGUUCAGACCGAAGCUGGAAGUCGUAUUACACAAUCACUGCUCUCAGUAUUACUUAGGGCUGCACGAAGCGUAAACCCAAUGCAAUAGUCUCGGUUUGCAUCACCCACUUCGUAUCGCUGGGGUUUAAGCUAAAUAAUGCACAAUUGCCAUAAUUUUAGGAUCAGGGUGGUUAAAUAUUUGACGGCGAGGAAGGGCAGCCGCUCUCGUCUAACAGCCCCUGCAAUAGGAGGUGGGUAUUGCACUCUCUGGCUGCAGCAUCUGGGAGAGGAUUGUCAGCUUGUUUCCUCAGUGACUGGCAAAGCCAAGGAGUCACAGCAGGAGCACAGCUGAGGACAGAAGGCAGGGGAGAGGGAUUUUGAGCCUCAACAAAAGCGAUGUCAGUUCUUUAGAUCAGAUUUCCGUUCCAGAUAACGUGGGCUCAUCAGAACGGUGGAAGUCCUAUCUGCUGUGGCAGCUAAGAGAGGGUAGAGCUGCAGUUUCUGUGCUGCACUCCUUUCCUUGCACCUUUCCUCGCUGAAGCACUACCUGCACGCCGCCAAUCCCCCCACUGUAGGCACUUCUCCUCACAGGGUGUCAUUACGUUCUCAGAGAAUCUUCCACUGCUGUAACAUGUGACAUGGCCAGCAUUUGUCAUGUUAUCUGCUCUCCUGUUGCCAGGGGGAGGAGCAUGUGCAGUUGAAUGUUUUGAGUUUUAUCUGCCUUUUUUGUUUUUUUUUUUUUUCUUUUUCUUCAAUAUAUGUGUUGUGUGUUUACAGUAGUGAGGCAAGGUCAAAGUCAUGUAUUUUGUUCUCCAAGCACUACGUGGUUGGUUGGGCUCCUGAUGGCCCUUAGCUCCUGGGCGUAUUCAUCCCAUAGACUUGCUCCAGCCCCUGAGAAAAGUGUAUCUGUAGAAAUGUUAGCUUUUUUCCCCUACUUGUGUAAAUUCUCUUGUGUCAGGUGAGAGAAACUGCCGACACGAGGCUGUAGUCUGGAGACCCAGGCAUUUCUUUGGGAAACCUGGAUUUAGGCCCCGGGAGGAUCUGGAGACCCCAAAUCUGUCAUUUAAAGUUCUAUAGAAAAUCAGUAUUAAGUGGAAGAGAGGGACUCAUAUUCACCUACCCCACUGAGAUGACAUUCCCCCCGGCUUCCUAUACUUGGGAGUUCCCUAUAUGGAUCAAGAAUCACACUUGGGUAUCCCAAACGGCCGGGGUCUGUCUGCAAGGUGGCACAACCAAAGCAAGGUACUGAUCUCCCAGAAUGGCCCAGGAGCUCCCAGCUCGUCAGGGAUGGUUAGAAAGCUGGAGGCUGUCUUUUGACUCAGGCACGCAUUACUUUGCAAAUUACCUUGCUAUGUGUUUUUAAGAUUUAUUUUACAACCGUGAGGAUUAGAGGAAUUUGUCGUAAUGAAAACUGGCAUUGUGUCACUACUGUGUAACUGUGUAGCUGGAUUCUUUGGUCUGCCUGGGUACUUGCAUAUUAUUCCACUCUCUACUGGUCCAGCUCCUAAGUGAGUUACACCAAAUGGAGGCCAACAAGGUAUACCCAACGUGGAGCAAUUAUAAUAACGUGCACAUCUACAUAUUAUUUGGGUUCCCUGUUUUGGUAUGGCAUAUGUGUGCAUGGCCAGUGGAAAUUCCAACUUUUUUUUUUUUUUUUUUUGUAUUUAUUUUUCUAAUUUAAGCCCUGCCUUGCUUUUGGUGCUUAUCCAGCCUUCUUUGCUGGAUCCCCGUUAGAGAUUCACCAAGGCCUCUCCUCAGACCUCUUCUGAAAGUUUGCUAUCAGUUGAAGUUUCUGCUUAAUAAUCUACUCUAAUAAUCAAGUGUAUUCAACAUCUCCUUUCAUUUUUGACUUUUCUGCUUCUUUCUGUGGCCAUUAAGUCUCCAAUUUAUCCUGACAAACAUAGGAUUUGGAAUUCAUUACUUAGGCCAUUUCAGGUUGUCACGUAGCAAGGACUGAAGUGCGCCUGAAAACUAAGUUCUGAAUUUGCCAGCUGAGAGCUGAUCUAGGGAUCCUUCUCUUGGCACCAAGGACUGCAGGAAGUAUUUGCUAGAUUAGGAUGUACACCUGCUUUAUUAAAUUCCCUACAAAAUACUAAGUGGAAAAAAAAACCCCAAACCACCCAUAAACAACCUUUAGCAUAUUUUUGGUGUAGACUACCUGGUUUUUCAACAGCCAACUUUCAAUCUAUUUUUUUUUUUUUCCCCCAAUGUCUAAGAUGUUUAACACAGCAUAAAGGCAGCUGGUACAAUCCAAAGGCUGGGCUUAACUACGCUUUCCUUCAGUAUUGACUCUAAUACAGCCAUAGGCCUGACCCAUCAUGAACAUAUCCCUGAGGCCUCGGGAAAUACUUGCUAUUAAACGAAGGUUCUGUGGUGAAGUUUUGCUAAAACGGCCUCGCUGUAACUUCUAAACAUUGUAAAAAUUCUUCUGCAUGUUAGUGGUUGUGAAAUGUGCUGGUUCGUUAUCUGUGAAAACUGAAGCCCAUUCUUUAUGGAUUAAUUACAGCAGAGCAGUUGCCAAGUGAUCUUCUCCACAGCACCCACGAACUUUGGCCUUACACUGAAGAGGACUCGUCAAAUGGUGAGAAAAUAAGUGUGGUUGUUGGGGCUAUAAAUUAUUGAGGGGAUGCUCUAUUAUUUUUUCUUUCCUUUGUAUCAAUUCUGUUAUUUAACUGGUAUUAAAGUUAGAUUGUUUUUGGUAGGGUAACUGCUGGGGCCAGAGCCUAAUUUCUCACCUUCCCGCCCGCUAUUUUGCUCGUUGCUUUCUCAAGCUUUAUCAUCUCCUUAUCCAUCCUGGACUUUUCCAAACAAUUGUUAGCGAUACACUGAAUUUAUGAGCUAUUUUUUUAUUACUUGAUUUAGCCUUAGUCCUGUGCAUGCGCUCAGCUGUGUUCACAGGAGGAUUUCUAUCAGCACCACCAGUCAGCACAGCACAGCUCGGAUGUGAGGAAUUGUUGGAAAGGCUGAAACUCAGACUUUGCAAAUAUGUAUUUCUGCAUUUAAAUGAAAUGCUACUGAAAUUAAUACAGGAGUGAGAGGUCUGGAAAUGCUUUAGCUAGCACUAAUUUGUUUGCUUUUAUGCUGUUCAAUUCAUUUCUUUUAAGACAGCAUGAUGUAAAUUGUUCAUUUGCUUCUCUAGUUUCUCAGUUUCUGGGAAAUUUUGAAAUCUGAGCUUCAAAACGUUUAUAAAAUGUUAGUAAUGCUCAUGAUUCUCAUAAAAGGAACAAAACGUUAUUGUGUUUAACCAUUUUGUGAAAAGGGAACUGAAUCUGGAGAGGAACUAAUUCUAUCAGUAACUCACUGCCUUAGUCAGGUCUUUAACCUUGCUCUAGCUCCGUACCAACACGGAGUCAUGAUUUUUACACGUAUGGGAUUAUUAAGCACGCAUUUUAAAUAGAGAGAAUUUCCUUUUUUAUAGCUGUAGGUGAAGGGUGGGAUAUUAGUAGUGGGAGAGGACAUGAGAAUGUAGCUGUUAAGCACUGGUACUGGCUUCCUGGUAGUUUUGAGAGGUGACAGCUUAAAAUAACGGUGUAUACAAUGAUCCACAGUUUAGGAGGCAGAUCACAAUGACCAGAAGUUCACAGGAUGCCAAGAGAUGUCCCUGAACUUUGUUGGUUCACUGUUUUGAUUUCAGUGGCUCAAUUUAUGUUUUCCUUUAGCAACUGCACUGUAGAGUAAGGAGUAAAAGGGACAGAACCCCACUAGCAGCUUACGAUCUCCACAUUUCCUCCUCCCUUUAUGGCUGCUACCACAGAGAUUGGAAUAUUGGGUAUUAACCCUCACCCUGCUCUUUACCAAAGCAGGACUGGAAGCGCGGGUGUGUUUGUAAGGCAGAAGAAAUGGCGAGCCCUUUACACCAAUAACCGAGUGAUGCUCUGUGUUAAGGAUUACUGCGGUACUGUCAGCAAACACUGAACUAAUUUAACCUUUGUCUGAGUUAGUUACCAUUUUGCAUAUUUAAAAAUGAGAUUUGAUACUUAAGCCAAAAAGAAGCAGUGGUUUUCAGGCAGAGUGCACUGAGAUAUAACCCAGAGGUCAUUUAUUUUUAAUCCAGAUUUAAUUUUCAGUUUCUUUUUUCUUCCUCGGGCACUUUCUUUAGUUUUCUUUCUGAGACCCUCUCCCCCGAAUUAACUCGAAGCAUUUAAUCAUUUGCACUCUGCUUCACCAAACAAUUAAUCUCGUACCUAAGUCACGAUACUUGCACGAGUCCAGCUUGUGAGAGAGAAGUCUGAAUGCACGUUAGCCCCUCACGUUUUGUACUUGGGUUUGCCUGUCUGAGAACCAAUAGGCUGGAUCCAGCCCAAGUGUGAGUCAGCAUGUAAGCAGGGUAAGGAGUUGGGGCUCAGAUCUGUAUGCAAGCUUGGUAUUACAAACGGGGUGAAUGCUUUCAAGAUGAUUUACAUUUGUUUUUUAAAUUUAAGCACUUCAGUUGUUUAGCUGAGCGGAGUUUAGAUACUCCAUAUGCUUAAAGUUAAAUGCUUAAAGAUAAGUGGCUUAAAGGUUUUCUAAAAGCAUAUUUGGAAUUGAUGUAAUUCUUUCACUUCAAUAGAAGUUGGAUGGUUUUGAAAAUCCCGUUUUUAUUGCCCUGCUAAGAAAGUAACGUUGUUUCUUUUAUUCCAUCCCUUUUUUGUUAAGUCGUUUUCACUCCUGGUCCCAUUCACAUUGUUUCCUUCCAACCUGUCCUGUAAUGUCCAGUUCUCUAUUAACUUUGCCACGCUGACUAUUCUUUGUCUCUAGAGCAAUAGGAAGGGUAUGAAGAGCACAGUGGGUGGCAUUUUUCAAAAAGGGAACUGGGACUUGCUCGUUAUUAAAAAAUUAUUCUCUAAUAAUAAUGAUCUGAAGCCAGGUAGCAGUAGCAGGAUCGUAAGGUGAUUCUUUAAUAGCCAUUAUGCUUAUUCUCUAAAAAACAAAGCAGAAAAACCCACUGAACAGAUUGACUCUUUAAACUUAACGUCAGUGUUGUGUUACUAAGCUGUGUAUCACUGAACUUUUCUUAAGCUUUGGGAGAUACAACACGGAAUUGGAAGAGAAGCAUGGAUCUACCUGAAGGGCAGUUCGCUGCAUUCUUGGUAAGUUCAAAACACGUGUAUAAAAUUUUAUCUCUGUUAAAUUUUCACCUUUAUGAAUUGACAUCUAUUUAAGGUCCUUUGCACAGGGACAGAACAAAGGCAGUUUCAUGGAAAUGGUCUCUAUUCUCUGGAUUCUUUUACGCUCUCACCCUGUAAAAACCUGUGUUGUGUUAUAGCUGAGUUUGUGGUGUGACUCCUGAAUGAAAACAGUAAAUGACAUGAAAUUCAGUUACUUUCACAGUGAUUAUACAACUGUGUUUUCAUGCCCACUUUCUGAAUAAAACAAGAUAUAUAGGAAUGAGUUUUCUCCUAGUAACUUCUGAAUCCACUGCUUCAUUUGAGCUGCAUUUGAUACAGAGAUAGAGGUCGCAAGGUCAAGUUUCUACAGUUUCAAUGAAACCUGGCAGAUGAGAUUAGAAAAAUGACUCGAAUUUGUGCCUCCAGGACAGAAAAAGCUUCAGCAUGGACUUGGAAGUUUUCUAUUCCAUUCAACCUGCUGCCUUGCAGAUUAGCAUCCUUGGUUGGUCUGAUGGUCACAAUGUGAGUUGCUCCCAGUAGUGAGAAGGUGGUGUUUUGUGAAGGAAUUUAGGGAAAUUAUUUAGAAGGGAGUGGGAAUCCAGCCAGGGUAACGUCAGCCUGGGAUUGCUGCACAAGUAUUUUGGGGCAUGUGCAAGCACAUUAGUAAAUAACUAGACUUUGUAACUUUGCUGGUCAUGAAAAAAACCCUUGUUUUUGCAAGAGCCUUCCAGUCUCCCAAACCAAUCAUGUACCCUUCAACUUUAUGGUGGUCUAUACCUACGUUAGAUGCAUGUUUUUCCUAUCCUUGUCAGAGAAGGGAAUUGUUGAGGCAGUUUCGCUAUUUCAUUUCUUUGAUGGCUUGAAUGUCAGCUCUGAGAUAUUCCAUAGGCUGUCACAUUUGUAACAGUGUGUUUUCCGCUCUUCUCAGAAACUGACUGUCAUUUGGACUGCAGCUAUGUGUCCCUGACCUCUCCUCCAGUCUGCACUCUCGGAGCAGUGCAUUGUAUUCCAGUUAACUUCCUUAUUGGAGAAAGAUGUGGAGCUAGGCAGAGGGGCAGAAAGCAGUAUUAGGAUCUGGCUGCAUAAGUUACCACGUUGCAUUGCAUCUUUGAUAAUGCCAUAUUUCCCUAGCUUUAUGGUCUUGGGCUCCUAGAGAACUGACUGUCCCAAAAAGUAUAGUCUGCUCAUUCUCAGUCAGUAAGAAAUGGGUACAUUAUACUUGCCAGAGGUACUGGUUCACUCAGGUAGGCUCAGGUGCUGGUUCACACUUGCAGGCUAAUGUGACUGGUAGGUCUGAUAUUUUUAAAUUUUCUGUGUAACAGUAGAUGGGAGAAGCAUUCAAGGCCAGACUGGAUGGGGCUUUGAGCAACCUGGUCUAGAGGGAGGUGUCCCUGCCUAGAGCAAGGGGUUGGAACUAGGUGACCUUAAAGGUCCCUUCCAACACAAACCAUUCUAUGAUUCAAUAAUUCUAUAUCUUAAGACACUUUUUGAACAGAACUUACAGCUGGAGCACCGAUCUUGAGAAAGAGGAGUUGAAUUUGUCAUUAUAAGUCAUGUAUAUAAACCAAAAGUUUUAAAGGGAAUAAAAGGCGAAGAAACACUUCAAAUUCAGUAACUUCUAAGACAACUGCCUUGAAAUUUGUUGUAAUGUCUGAAAUGUGGAUUUCAAAUUUUUGCUUGUCCUCCUGCCCAGUUGAAAGCUUUAAGCCUGGCAAGGAACAAAAAACUGUGGUGCUCUUCUCCAUUUUCUGUUUGUUUACAAGUCUGUUGUUUGACAAAAUCACAGCCAGUAAGAGAACAACUUGUUGCUCAAAAAUAAAACCAAAAGUAGAGAAUUAAAAAAGACUGCAUUCCAUCCUUAUGGAACUCCUGAUUCUUCUGUUAGAUUGUCAGAUCCUUUAAUUUGUUCGUAGCUUUUGCUUGUUUGUUUUAAAUAUUGUUGUUUCUUUAAUGGUAUCUAAAUUAAAGGAAUAAAGAAAUGUCUUCUGCAUGUUUCUAGGAUCUAGUUCUUAUAUCCUUUAUCAUCAGUGCUCUUGCACAGUGUCACCAGUUAAAUAUUAUUUCAUGGAACCCAUGGUUAAUGUGUUUGUAAAUGUUUUAUGAUAUAGAAAAGCGUUGUAACUGAAAAUAAAAUGCCUUUUAAAGAUCAACAUAGAUGUAUUUUUAAUAAGAACAGUGAGGUCAAAUCAUAAAUGUUAAGUUUUGUGUGAAUGGCAAAGAGGUGGUAUAUAUUUGUUUAACAUUACAUUUGUACUUCCUGCAUUCUAAAUAGUUUUCUGGAGGAGCUUAAAUUUAGGAAAUGAUUGCAGUUGAUUUUUGUAAGGAUUUUUUGUUUAAAAAAGAUCACUUUUAGUCUAAAAUUGACUACUGUUUAUCAUGUGUUUUCAAAUACUUUAGUCUUCGAUGCUGCUGUAUGUGGCCAGAUGCUUUCAUAGAAUCACAGAAUGGCCUGGGUUGAAAAGGACCACAAUGGUCAUCUAGUUUCAACCCCCCUGCUAUGUGCAGGGUCACCAACCACCAGACCAGGCUGCCCCGAGCCACAUCCAGCCUGGCCUUGAAUGCCUCCAGGGAUGGGGCAUCCACAACCUCCUUGGGCAGCCUGUUCCAGUGCGUCACCACCCUCUGUGCGAAAAACUUUCUCCUAAUAUCUAACCUAAACCUCCCCUGUCUCAGUUUAAAACCAUUCCCCCUUGUCCUAGAACUAUCCACCCUUGUAAACAGCCAUUCCUCCUCCUGUUUAUAUGCUCCCAUCAGGUAUUGGAAGGCCACAGUGAGGUCUCCCCGGAGCCUUCUCCAAGCUAAACAAUCCCAGUUCCCUCAACCUUUUCUCAUAGGAGAGGUGCUCCAGCCCUCUGAUCAUCUUAGUGGCCCUCCUCUGGACCUGCUCCAAGAGCUCCAUGUCCCUCCUGUGCUCGGGGAUCGUGAUCAUAAAGACCUCAGAAAUUCACUGACCUAUGCUGUCUCUCCAAACUUUAUGCUGAUUUGAAGCAGACUUAAACACUAAGAAGCAACUAUGAUAAUGGCUUUUUAUAAAGUAAUAAUUAAAAAUACAUCUAAAUUUCUACUUCAAAUGCAUAUUGGUAAAAGUUCCCAUAACGUGCUGCUGUUACAUGUAAGGCCUGUAAGCAAUUUGAAGUCAACAUUCUGUAAAAAAAGGAACUAAGAAUUCCUAUAAAUAACGUGCAACUUAAAGAUGUAUGGAACUCCUUUAUUAUGUGCUAAACGCUGUAAUAAAAUGGGCUAUCAGAGGGUUUUGCUGCAUGUUACUAAUUUUAAUUUCUUUUUUUUUAUCCCAAUAUUUUUGCAGGUGUGUGGAGGAACGGGUCCCGUGCUCACUGUUGUUACUCCCACAUAGGCGGACUCUGUAACUGAUUAUAUGUGGGUAGGGCCCUAUUGAAAUUAAGGAGAUUCUGCAGUAGUGCGGGGUUCUGUUUGUGUGACCCUACUGUGCCUUCUUACUGUGAAUUCUGUCAGUGUAUCAUGGGUUGUGCUGGAACCUGCCUUUUGGGAUAAUGUAAGUUCUGCCUUUCCCCCAAAUGUACUUUAGACGUGAAAUAAUCAUUAAAAAAAAAGUUUUGAAUUAGAAAAUAAAUAUAAUUUACAUGCGUUCUUUUAAUUAUGUUUUUUUGGCAGUACCAAAUAAUAUAUUCCUCAAAACUUCUUAAUGGCACUGAGGCUUUGUGGAUAGUUGGUCACAUGAUGAGAAAAUUCAGCUGUAAGUACACUGAAAUGAUUGAAUUUUUCAAUAGUUAGUCUUUGCUGAUGUUGACAGACUAAUAAUGAUAAAAGGGUUAAUCAAGAGGUGUGAUUUAUGUGUGACUCCGGUUCUUUUUAGAAAAUCCAUACAAUAUAUCCAUUAAGGAUAUCAUUAUUCUUGGAUAAUUCACCACGUGAACCCGGAGUCCUUCAGCACUGCUGUUAGGUAGGGAGUUUUCAUUUGUUUAUUUCCUUUGCUUUCAGAAGAGUGUGUUUCUGAGCUGCUCUCUAUCUUCACCCAUAAAAUUUUCCAAAUUUAUAGAUCUAUAAAAACCGUUUAUGCCUCCAAUAUUUGUGUAGCUACUGCAAGCAGAUUUACUAACAUAAUUGUCUUGCUGAGUUGAACGUUGAAAUGUUAAUAAAUAUAUACUUAUGCUCAUGUCAAAGUAACUUGGUUAAAUUAAACUAAACUGAUCUGACGUUAUGAGUGGCAAUUUGAUCACACAUGCUGAUUAAUUAUAGGCUUCUUAGGCAAGAACUGUAUAUUUUAUUUUAACUAAGUACCCUGUGCUUAAUCGGUAAUAAUUAUCCAUACCCUUUGUCAGUGGAUUCACCCAAAAUAACUAUAAAUAUACUUGUAUUGAAGAGGAAGUUUUUUGCUUGUAUCUAUGGGUACAGGCAUUGCUAUGAUUCCUAUUUUUAUAUCCAAGAGAGCAAAAAUUAUGUGUAGGUGUUUUACCUGUGUAACGCUAAUGGCUUUAUAAACUCCAUGCCCUUUUUUUUAUGAUGGUGUAUUUCCUUUCUGGUGUUCAAGUACAAAAAUGUUCUGAAGGCAAUCUUGUAUCUGGAAGAUGGAAGAACUAGAAUUGGUAUUGAAUCUGUGAGUAAUUAUUAAGGAAGUGUGAAGCUGUAGAGGAUUUGUAGGCAUGGCCAAUUAGAUAUUCCUUCAUGUAGAGCAAAGAUGCAGACAGUGAUUGGGGAGUAAAGAAAAAGAGAUUGUAGAAUUAUUUUUUUGCUUGGCACAAAAGUAACAUUAAAUGAAUUUGAAGAAAGAGCAAGACCAAAGAAGAGAUCAUAACCAGAUCAAAAGCAGACUUGAGAGUCCAAUUAACAAACAAAUGAACAAACAAACAAAAUAAAACUCAAAAAGAAACAAGGAACUAAACAGAAGAAUAUAUGGCAAAAAUAUGCCCAGAAGGAGAACUGAAUGUGUAGCUACUGGUACCUUUCAUUUCAUCAAAUAUCUGGUUGAUUUACCUAUCUAUUUAAUUUAAAACUUCCAGGAAAUGUCUUUCUCUACAGUUCUCUGCAGUUUUUUUGGAGGGGUCGUGUGGGCUUUGGAGAGUUAGUGACUGUGAAUUACCUGUAUAAACAGAGUAUUUGAGAUGACAACUGCAACUAAGAACAGAGGUCGAUGGUCUACAUAUGCUAAAAUGUGGCUAGUGCUAAGCAGAAGAAAGAGUUUCUUGUUCAAACUCAUAACUUAACUAUUUUAAAUUUGAACAUCUCAAAGAGAGCUCAAAACCCAAUGGGAUUAUUUUGGUUACGGGAUGUUACGGUGCUUCUUUUAUAAUUUCUGAACACAAAAAUGAAAUGGAGUUAUUUUUUAAUAUGAGAUGAAACCAUAGUUUGAGAACAUUGAAUGUUUCUCCUGAAUAAUGAGAACACUGAAUAUUUCACUUUGCAUCUAAAAUCUUGAAUGAUAUUUUUUUUGUUUGUUUGUUUAAAAAGCACAGUUCUAAUAGUUGACUGUUUUCAUCUUUUAGUUCUAUAUGCCAUAUUUAUUCUUACUUCCCCUAAGUUGUGCAAAGGAAAGAAAAGGAGAGAGAGAUCAGGUGAUUGCACAGCAACCAAACCCAGCCUCCUAUGUUCCCUCUCCACACCAGAUUGAAAAAAAAAAGUGCCUCAGAAAAGAUCUGGUUUCAGAAGAGAUAAAGAAGCAAGGUGAUAUAUUAGUGGGGUAUGAGGAGGCCCCUGGAUGUUUCAUAUGUCUCCAAGUUUUUCAGUCAUCUCUACGGAGGGCAGCUCAUACACAUCUGACUGCAUCUCCUUCCUGAGAGAGCAACUUCCCUGUGCUUUGAGAGAAAGAAUGUAGGGGCACAGCUCUAUUCUGCCUGAGGUAAUGCUGCUACAAAACACUGUUUGGAAGAAAAGGAACUCUGAAUUGUCUCCUGCUGUAUGUCUCCAGUACUCACGGCUGCUAACCCGUGUGGUUGAGCACCUGAUCUGCUUGUUCCUUUAGUUCAACCCAUUCUGUGCUGUUGUAAAUGACUAAAACUAGGAAACAGCAAGAAAGCAGACACGAAGAGAUCUUGUUGAUGUUUGUGGAAUUUAGGGUGUGGGCAUUUGCUACAUGGGCACACUUUAUGUAGGUUUGGGAAUACUUCAAGGGCUGGAAAUACCAAACUAGAGCAAAGGAGAGUAAUUUUCCUUCAGUGGCAAGCUGAAAUGAUAGCCUUGGUUCUGUACAAUAAGGAGGAAGAGGAAAGGAAUGUGCCUGAAUGUUCAGCAUGUUAGUUGUUUUAACUUUAAGCUGUAAGAUCUUUUUCUCCACUGCUGUUUGCGCUUGGCUUGUAUCACCAAUGUCCUGUCUUUGAGCUGGAUGUAGCAUGUUUUUGUUUGCUGAAUGAGGCACCCAUCAAAUUACAUUCUCAUGAACAUUCUUCUUCUUCAGUCCUUGAAAGUCAAAACAUGGUAGCUCAGGUAGCUGUAAUAACCCAGUAAUAAAUGUGGCGUGAAAGAAUUUUCUUAUUUCAUAGUACAGGAAGAACAGUGUUUUAUGUGUCACUUCAUAUACCUCCUCCCAUCUUCUUUUUUACUCCUAAGCAGAUCUAAUGCAUGAAAAUUUUCUUCAGCGUUGUCCUCAGUUCUUUAUUUCCAGUUACAACUUUUGUUAGCAAUUUUUUCAUAUUUUUGGUUGGGGUCCUCACAAAACCUCUCUGCAUCCUCGGUGAAUGACACCAUCAUGCUGUUGUUUGCUUUAAGUCAUCAAACCUAGGCUAAAUCUUAGUUUUUGGAAAUCUUUUUCCAAUCCUUCAGGGAUGCUCUUUCUUCUCUGUUGGUUGCUUGUAUUUUUCAUCCAGGUUUUCCAUGGAUCAUAUCGUUAUUAGAAAAUCUUCUUCUUUUGCCUUGACAAAUGUAGUCUUGUCAUUAUGCGUUCCAAGUGCUGCUGUAAAUAUCAGUUUCCAGAUUUACUCCUUUGGCUUUUUAAACUUCCUCCUUCAAUUGAAAGCAAUAAAGAUAAGCUAUCUGUCUUUGUUUUCAAGGCCCAUCAAGACUACUUCUACCUGAUACCUUUCCUUCAGUAUCAAGAGGUUGACUCUGAUUUUGAUCAACAUAUGAUGCCAGCUUCCAUCAUUCAGUUGUUAUAUUUUCACACUGGAUACUUUCUCCUCAGCUGCCUCUCGUGUAGUAGUUGACUCCUUCUUAAACAGAACUGUUUGCUGUCUCCCUUUAAUAUCUUCUUGAAAGUUUUAUGUACUGUGAAGCUUAUGACAAUCCAACUAGAAAAUAAGUAUGUUGUACAAGUAUACUAAUACCGAUGCUUGUCACAGUAAUACUUUGUCAUUGCCUUUGUACUCUGCAGUAAUCUCUGUUGUCUCUUCACGUAGAAUUCAUGUGGACUUUUUGUUGUAUGCUUAUUCAUGGCCCAGCAUAACGAGAAGUGGUCCAGGGUGUAGCCUUCUAGGAUUUGUGGUAAUGCAAAUAAAUAAUAAUGAACACUUGUUGGAUACUGCAGUGUAGCCUCUGGAUUCUGCUGAGCCCUGACUCGCAUCAUACUUAAUGCAGAAAUAAGGUGCUCACAAAAAUAGGGGCCUCACAAAAGGGAGAGAAGUGAGUUUCAGCCAACACAGAAAAUGCUAGCACCCCAGAAGUCUUCUCAGCUGUCGAACCCAAGUCAAUAGCUACUGGCAUUGUGUCCAGAAAGCACCCCUCUUUAUCUUCUCCACAGCAGUAACAGCAGACUCUCCCUCCUCAGAGGAAGUUAAUGUGAGUAUUAUGAAUCCUCAGUGUAUACAAGAGAUUAAAGGACUUCAUAUACUUCCAUAGUGUCAUUCUGCUACUUAGUGCCUUCCCUUCCUGACACAGCAUCUCUUGGUACAGAAAUCUUGAAUAACCACAGGCCAUUCUGUUGGUCAGUCCUUGUCAAAUGCCACUUGGUUCUCUGUUGAGAAGGAACCUGCACUAGUUUUGAUUCGGUAUCAAGGUACAUUGCUACCUGAUACUGCUCUGUUUCCCUGGUACCUUGAAGAUAAUGAUUCUUCAGAAGAGUGGUAAGCGUGAAUCGCAACAGGAAUUCCUCAGGUAUGUUGCUCUCUUUCUGGAAGUGGGUCUGCAUGUGCCCCUUUUCCUUCUUUCAAAGUGACACCAAAAUAUCAGCGUUUAGAUGAUAACAGAGAUGAUGAAAUGUUAGUGCCUUGCUGAUAGAGAAAUGAUAGAUUGGUCUGUUGGUCUCUAUAUGCUAACUAGUCAAAUAAGUUAAAUUUAUCAGACUAAACCAUAAAAUAUAAUUACAAGUGGUUCCAUAUCUGAGCAGGAGAAGCCUGGCAAGAGCUCUGAAUGAGCUGACAGAGUGGACACAGUGACCGUGAAAUACAGCAGGAGGCCAGAGAGGCUAUACAACUGAGAAGCUCGAUAGUAACAAGAGUUUUCAGUUUUCAAACUAUGGUCUGGAUAAGCUUAACAUUAGGGCAUCAUGCAUAAGCUGUGUUUUUAACUACCAUCAAGAACUAACUUUUGAGCAAACUAUCCAGAGAAUCCAGUAGAACGAGGACAGCUCUUGAGUUCGUUUAGAUUAGUAACCAGGAUUUGGUUGACAGAGUAACUAUAGGAAAGACAUUUGGUAGUGGUACAUCACAUCAAACUGAAGUUUGUCGUAUUUGCAUGAGAGAAAAAGAUAAAAAUAAAUAAACAAUCCAGUAUUGUUUAACUGUAAAAAAGAACUGCAUACAAAUGAAGAAAUCGUUCAAGUAAAAAUUGUAAGAGGCUAAGAGAGACACAGAGUGUUUGUUUUCUAAUUCUGACCCAAGUGAAUAAGAAUUCAUGACAACUGAGCAGUAAGGGAAGUUACGAGGAACAAAUAGAUGUUUUUCAAAAAGUGAAAUCCAAACAAGCAAAGAGGAGAAGAGCACAGUUCUGGGAAGUUAAAUGUAGACCUAUUCUAAGGAGGGACAAAAAGAUUUUGAGGAGCAAUAGGCUAAAAUCAUAAAAGCAAAAAGAAAAAUCUAUAAGUGUAAACUUUUCAGUUAAUUCUGCUAGCAGGACACCGAGUUCCAGAGACAGAAUAUUUAAAGGCAAAGCCACUACAGAAAGAAACAUAUGGACAAACCCUUGCAUUGGCAGAGUUUAUUCCAGGGAGAUUAGGUACAGUCCCAUAUAAAAGUUGUUCUUUAUAAGAAGUAUUUCAAUUUUUAAAUAUCAAUAAAAGAUUUUUGAACAACUUGAUUAAAUGGGCAUUAGCAGAUUGCCAGAUAGCACGAUGUUCUUUCGGUAGUUGCAGAGAAAUUCAGAAAUAAAACUGGUUAUCUGUGAACUGUGUUGUAUUAUCUAUCAUUUAAAUUGGUGUUGAUGACAGAGGAAUGGAAAGCAGCAAAUGUGACCAUGUUAAAAAGGUCUCUAGGGACGAUCGUGGACUAAUGUACUAAUAAGUCUGACUUCCAUGGCAGGCAAAAUGCCAGUGAAUGUGAUAAAGAAUAUAAUUAAUAGGAACACGUGUGGCUGUAAUAGGCAACCAUCACCUUGACUUUCUGUACAGGGUAGUUUUGUCUUACGGCUUCGCUUAUUGUUUGAAGCAGUAAACAGACACAUGGGCAUGGGUCACCCAAAAAGCUUUUAAAAAGGUCUAUCACCAAAGAAUGUUAACACAGUGAAGUGUUGAGAUACGUAAGAUUCCUUGUGGAUUAAUAAACGGUUACAAGAUAAAGAAGACUAUAGCAACUAGUAGGUGGCUUUAAUGACACCACCUCCCAGCAAUUUGUACUGGCACCUUUUCUGGUCCACCUGUUCCUAAAUGGUAUGAAAAAGUGCAGUGAUAAUGCUUAGAGACGAUAAAAGGCUACUGUGCAUUUGGAGUCAGAGCUGACGUUGGCCCUGAAGAGUUGCAGAAGGAUCUCACAGCACGGGCUGUGGUGCUGCAGGAGCCACGGCUGUCCCAGAGGCCAGGUAUGACUGACCCACUGUUAAACCAGACCUGUCAGCAGAGAGGGUCAUUACCUCAUCAUCUGUCAGCUCUGCAGGCUGCAGCCAGGCCUGCUGCUCAGGAAGGCAUGGACUUGCAGCUGUUCUAACAGGAGCUGCAACUUGGAAGUUCUACUUCCCUAUUUCUUAGGGUUUCACAGCCUUAGGUGAGCUUGAAAUACAGACUUUGAUCCUGGCAUUCCUGCCUGUCACAGAGGUGAAGUUUAAUUGUUAAGCUGAUGGCUGCUGUCUGGCUGCUGUGAAAAGCCUGGGUUCUCAAGCCUUUUCCUAAUGCUUGUGUGGAUUUUUAGCAGCUCUUGCUGAUUUCUUGAAAUCAUUCCGGAUGGAUUUGAUGCAAUAUGGUACUUGAAACAAAGGAGUCAUGCUGGCAUACCAGUCAGUUUUGAGCACUGAUGAGAAUUAUAUAAAAAACAGACACGGAUGAUGAAGAUAUGGCACAGCUAUUGUGCAGGGACAGUAACAGAAUCAGGAUUCUUCAUUUUGGAAAAAUGCUGGCUGAGGAGUCAUAACAUGAGAAAGAUCUCUAAAACCACGAAUAUGUGGAAGCAUUUAAUAGGAGACUCUAACUCUUUAUUUCUUAGAAUAGAAUAACAAGGAGCCCUUGGUCACUGUUUUCUGUAUCUUAGGUGACCUUUAUGAUAGCAGAAGAUACCAGUUUCAUCUGCCAUAGUUCUGUGGCACAAAACUGCACAUCUGUUUGUCCUGGACCAGCCGUGGCCAAAACCCAACCUGUGUAGAAUUACAGCUUUUCUGUAAAUAAAAGCUCGUAGGCCUUGUUGUCUGAUGAUAAAUUUUCAAAUAUGAAUCAAAUGUAAAUUGGUCCCUUUUUCCUAAACCUGAAAGAUAUACAUAUAUUUAUUGAUAUCUAAACUAUGCUUCUGUCUAUUCCUUUGUCUGGCAGUAGUAAUGUUAUGGUCAUAUUGGCCUUACUUCUCCUGUUUACAAAUGUAUGGGCGAAGGAGAUUGCCAGUUUGCUGCUACUUCAGAAAGCCAGAAGCAAAUAGCAGGUCCUAAAAUCAGUCUCAAGGGAAAUCAGAUAGAGGAGCAGUAACGUUUAACACAGCAACCAGAAGGUCAGGAGGGAGGGAGGGAGCAGGGAACAUCAUCGUAUUUCUGACGUGGCAGGAAUGGUUUUCAAGCUGUGGUCCACUAAGCCCUAAUGGGUUACAGGGCUAUGGUAAGUUGAACAGCCUUUGGGCUAAACCAUAUCUAAUGGUGCUUUAAAUAGUGCCUUCAAUUAAAAGUUUAAUCAGGUGGGAGUGUGCUGUUUUGUGAAAAAUGUUAAGGGCUGACAGCAAUCUAUUGCUCCAGAAAUUUGGGCUCUGCUCUUCUGCUGUGUAUGAAAAGGCAGAGAGCACUGCCUGCUUUUUCAACAUUAGAUAGGCCACAUGCCUCUGCAGGAGAAGCAUAGAAUCAUAGAAUCGCCAAGGUUGGAAAAGACCCACAGGAUCAUCCAGUCCAACCAUCCGCCCUUCACCAAUGGUUCCCGCUAAACCAUGUCCCUCAACACAACAUCCAAACGCUCUUUGAACACCACCAGGCUCGGUGACUCCACCACCUCUCUGGGCAGCCCAUUCCAGUGCCUGACCACCCUUUCAGAGAAGUAGUAUUUCCUAACGUCCAGCCUGAAGCAGCAGCAAGAGAUUCCCAGAGGGAGCCAGGAAGAUCAAGCUGGUAGCAGCAACCCUUCUGUCCCCACCACGUCCUUCCCAGGAUCUAGUAACAGAACGGCUGCUUUUUUAAUUGUUGCCUUGUCCUGAGCACCGCUAAUAGUCUUUGCUCCUCUUCCUUUCCAUCUGCGCUCAUGAAUAGUGGAUUUAGUGGCCUGAGAAGUGAGGAUUGGGUCCCCAUAGCACAAAGAUUAGACUUCUCAUCUUAAUCAAAUGAAAACAUAUGUACAUCUUUGAAUGCUUAUCUGACUUUCUAGCAACAUUAGCAGAUGCAGACUUUUCUUACGAGUAUUAGCAUGUCUUAGCACAGGAUCAGUUUAUUACUCUAAAAAAAUCCACUCCUAUUUGACCACGCUCUUUAGUUUACAUAAGCUCCCCGGAUGGUAAUUUUACAUUGUAAAAACCUUCCUUUUCCUCCUAUCAAGCCUCCUAUUAUUAUUAUUAAUAUCAUCCAUACUGACAAUUUUCCAGAAUCGUAAUGUAUUUGUAUUAGCUAUGCUUUCAGUUGCCCCAGCGUAGGUUACUUUCUGUUGUCAUAAAUACCACACAAGCACAUCCAUAAAUAAUUUGCAGACAUUAUAUCUUUUCCAACAUACUGCACAGCUUUUUAGCAAUCACGGUGGUGCUGAAGUGGAGAAAUGCCAAACUAUAAACCUUCAUUCAAAUGGUAUAAAUGUGUUUAUCCUGAAGAAGUCUAUUGUCUUACCUAAAGUUAGAUUGUAGCAUACGUAUUAUAUGAAAGGUAAGCAAAAUACUACUGGCAACAGCAGUUACAGUAACGGUGUUCUAAGGGAAUUAAAGUAGGCCAGCAUGCUCUGUGUAACCCUUUUUUUGUCGCAUCUCUCUUAUUCCUGUUUUUUUGAUACAUAUAGGAAAUGAGUUUUGUGAAUGCUUUUAUAUUAUUGUUAUUAUAUUAUUAUUACUAAAUGCCCCUUGCUAACUGAUAGGAUUCUGCAGUCACUUUUCAGUGUUCUAAUAUGUACAGUGCGUAUGGUUGGUUUGUCUUGUUCACAUGCACAGGGCUAAGCUGGGUAUGAGGUCAGGAGGAAAUCUUUGCCUUGUAUCAGAAACGUACAAGGGAGGAGAGUGCUUUUCUAGCACUGUAGUGUGGAAAAAAACUUAUUUACCAGUGUCAUCUGGGGGUGAUAGGAGAGAGGGAUUAAUAUGCUUAUAAGGAAGGCAUGUGGGUAUAGAAGCAGUGAUGGGGUAUAUGGGUAGAACUGAAGAUCAGUGUAUGGGAGUAAAGAUUUAGGGGCAGAGGUCAGAACAGGAUUCCUGUAGGAGCUGGAGAGGUCACAGCUGGAUAAAUGCAUUGGGGUCAGCUGGAAGUCAGUACCCCAAACGUGGCUAUAGCUCUGCCACAUCCUCACUGCACACUUUCCCUGUCUGUUCUCUCCUGUGUCUUCUGGAAUCCCAGCUUCUUGUCUGAUUGUGAACUGGAAACCUUACUUUCCUGCUUACUCCAGAAACAAGGAUACACACACAAGUACAGAAGGCCCCUCAAACCCCUCCCAUUGGAAGCCUCUCUUCUUACUGUUCUUUCUAUGGGAUUCUGCAAUGUAGGUACAGCCAGCUACCAUCUCUUCCGACGCUUCUCAUUCUCUCCCUCUCUGACCACUCUGCCUCCCGUCCUGACAGCACUGUCCUAACUCCCCAUCUGGAUGACUGCUGACCAUUCCCUCUGAUGCUGACAUCAGUAUUUUCUGUGAGAGAGAGUACUGUAGUGAAGAGACAGAAAAAGAAGAAGAUGGCACUAUUGUGAUUUUGUUGUUGUAUGGCUUUGAAUCACCUACAAGUAUUGCUGCGACCGCAAAUUAAGUGUGCUGGUUUCCCAAUGAACUUGUAAUUUCAAGAUGUUUGUAGAAAUGUAAAAUCAAACGUGAACCGCAUUAAAGUCAUUUAAAUUUAACAAAAUAUAGCACUAGUCUUCUUUUAUUUUUAAUAUGGAGACCUACGUGGCUCACUUGCAGAAAGUGGGUUAUAUUUUAAAAGCUGUGGACUGGCAAGUUCUGACUUACUAAAGCAUAAAAUCAUUGUCCUCCUCCCUGUGGCAGUAGUUUCUUUAUUCAGACCCACUGCUUAAAGAUCUCUCCUGUUGUUUCCUUCUCUAUCUUCUCCUUUUUUACUUCCUUUUACUAGCUUGAGUUUCCUGUUCCUUUUUGCACCGAACUUUCCUAAGUCUCUUGGUCCAAAACCAGUCCCUUUUUCUCUCACGUAUACGUCCAUCAGCCUAAACUACUGCCUUAAGCAUGAUCACGUAUAUCUCUAAACAACGAGCAGAUGUGCUGUUUCAGGACUUCCAGUAGAUAAGAAACUUAACAACGCAGUGACAGCAUUUCGAG
ensembl:lncRNA